AUUGAACGCUGGCGGAAUGCUUUACACAUGCAAGUCGAACGGCAGCACGGGGGCAACCCUGGUGGCGAGUGGCGAACGGGUGAGUAACACAUCGGAACGUGCCCAGUCGUGGGGGAUAACGUAGCGAAAGCUACGCUAAUACCGCAUACGAACUCUGGUUGAAAGCGGGGGACUCGCAAGGGCCUCGCGCGAUUGGAGCGGCCGAUGGCAGAUUAGGUAGUUGGUGGGGUAAAGGCCACCAAGCCGACGAUCUGUAGCUGGUCUGAGAGGACGACCAGCCACACUGGGACUGAGACACGGCCCAGACUCCUACGGGAGGCAGCAGUGGGGAAUUUUGGACAAUGGGCGCAAGCCUGACCGAGCAACGCCGCGUGCGGGACGACGCCUCGGUC
rnacentral:rRNA from 1 species